GAUCGUAACUAUAGAACAAAAGAAAUCUUGAUCUAUAGAAAGAGAGUUGAAGAUCUUGAACAAGAACUGGAUAGAACCAUUCGUAAUUCUCAAAGAUUGAUACUUUCUUAUGAGAAAGAAGCACAUAUCAAUUGGGUAAGUUU